rnacentral:rRNA from 1 species
CGGGACGGGUGAGUAAUGUCUGGGAAACUGCCUGAUGGAGGGGGGUAACUACUGGAAACGGUAGCUAAUACCGCAUAACGUCGCAAGACCAAAGAGGGGGACCUUCGGGCCUCUUGCCAUCGGAUGUGCCCAGAUGGGAUUAGCUAGUAGGUGGGGUAACGGCUCACCUAGGCGACGAUCCCUAGCUAGUCUGAGAGGAUGACCAGCCACACUGGAACUGAGACACGGUCCAG